GGGCCCGCACAAGCGGUGGAGCAUGUGGUUUAAUUCGAUGAUACGCGAGGAACCUUACCAGGGUUUAAAUGCAGAACGACAGGGGUGGAAACACCCCCUUCUUCGGACGGACUGCAAGGUGCUGCAUGGUUGUCGUCAGCUCGUGCUGUGAAGUGUCGGGUUAAGUCCCAUAACGAGCGCAACCCCCAUUUCUAGUUGCCAGCGGUUCGGCCGGGGACUCUAGAGAAACUGCCAGCGUAAGCUGUGAGGAAGGUGGGGAUGACGUCAAAUCAUCACGGCCCUUACAUCCUGGGCCACACACGUGCUACAAUGGUGGGGACAAAGGGCAGCAAACUCGCGAGAGCUAGCAAAUCCCAUAAACCGUGGCUCAGUUCAGAUCGUAGGCUGCAACUCGCCUACGUG
rnacentral:rRNA from 1 species